rnacentral:lncRNA from 1 species
CUACAACCAGACAUGAUUAGAAUUCGAAUUCCAAAUUACACGGAAUCCGUAUACAAAACGAUGCAAAUAAUUAAGGAAAUAAUAAAACUAUCCUUCGUGACAAACCGAAACUCCUCCACAUGACAACUGGCAGCUUCCGGACUCCUCCUUUGCAUCAUCGGCAAUCCCUUUGCCAUAGUCAUCGGCAGACCUUUUUAUCCAGCCAUCGGCACCAUAUUACUGCCUGUGGACUUAGUCACAUUCAACCUCUCCCUCAUCGGCAACCAUCCUCAUCAGCAACCCGCAUCGUACUGCCACCCUAUCCUGCCAUCCUAGACACGUGCCCAAAAACGGUGUCAACAGUAAGAGAAAGGCAUGAUAUAAAGUUGAGCCGCUGUUUAUCUUGUUUCUACUACACUAAGUUCUGGAGAUUUAUUUUUGAAAACUUACAAAUCACAUGAUGAGUUCCUAGCAUAACAAAACUACCUACCGCAGCCAUACUUGCAAUAACAUCUUUUACUAUAUUUACAUUGAGUUUGAUCGAGCUGUGUCGACCCUUAGGAACUUUUCAUGUGGUUAAAUUAAGAUAUUCACUUGCACACAUCUACCACAGCAUUCAUCAUCAAUCAUUAAAAUUGCUAAAAAUAUUAUCACUCACUGUCCCAAGUAUUGUUAUUUUCUCUCUCUAAAAAGAUUCAAUGCAGAAGAGGCAUGGAUUAUGCAAAAAUAUAUAGGAGGAAAUAAAAAGGGGCAAGUGCCCGGGAACCUCGAAAAAGAAAGAAAAAGAGUGAGACGAGAGGUAAAAAUGGACAAGUGUCUGAAGUAGAAUUAGGGGUACAAAGAUGCCCACUUGAGCGGAAAAAAUGGACAAGUGUCCGACAGUAGAAUUACGGGUAUCUACUACCCACCUAAUAAAAAAAAAGAGAAAAAGAAAGAAAAGAUAGCCCAUGUUCUCCCAAAGCAAAGAUCAAAGAGGAGGAGAGAUAGCAAUAUGAGGAGCAAUGAGAACUAAGUUUUAUUAUCACUUAUGCAUUUUCACUAUCAUUUACUCCAUCACACAUGCACAUCUUGAUUUAAUUAUUUGCUGAGUUCCUUUGGAUCCAUGGCUCGAUUAGACAACAUAUGUAUGAGCUGUUUGUUUUUUCACUUCUAUGAGCUCCACUUAAAUAUUCCAUUAGCUAUAGGUAAGUGACAUUAUGGUAAGGAUCCACAAAUAACACAUAUAGAGAGACUUGAGAGAAUCGUUGCUGGGAACUCUGAGUUUUAUUUUGAAAACUUAUGAAAAACUCUAGAACAAAAGUGAAGUAUAGACAAGAAGGAUAGUGCUUGACUUAACUAUUUUGUCUUUCGAUUACUUGAGACUUAGGUACAGGUACUAAACUUCAUAACACUUCACUCUAAUCUGGAAGAAUUUUUAUGUAAAAGCAUGUGUGCCUGUCAGGAAAGAAAACAUCGAAGCAACUCCUGAUCCGUCUGAGUUUAGCUGUUUGCUCAGGGACGAGCAAAGGGUAAGCUUGGGGGAGUUUGUUGACGGUCCUUAAGUACUAAAAUUAAUAAUCAAAUAAACAUGAAAAAGGAUCAAUAUGAAACAAUCAUCUAGAAUUAGGGUUUUAUCUGAC